AACUUUUGGCAACGGAUCACUUGGUUCUGGCAUCGAUGAAGAACGCAGCGAAAUGCGAUAAGUAGUGUGAAUUGCAGAAUUCAGUGAAUCAUCGAAUCUCUGAACGCACAUUGCGCCCUUUGGUAUUCCUUAGGGCAUGCCUGUUCGAGCGUCAUUUAAACCCUCAAGCUCUGCUUGGUGUUGGGCGCUUGUCCCCGCCUUCUGGCGCGGACUCGCCUUGAAAUCAUUGGCGGCCUACGUACCGGCUUCGAGCGCAGCACAUUCGCGUCUCCUGCCUGGCACGCUGGCAUCCAGCAAGCCUCACUCCAAUUUUGACCUCGGAUCAGGUAGGGAUACCCGCUGAACUUAAGCAUAUCAAUAAGCGGAGGCU
rnacentral:misc_RNA from 1 species